AUGGGGAGUGUGAGGAGCCAAGGCAAGCAAGGGGGGAGGGUGAGCAGAGCUCUGAAAGAGAACAGAGCCAGGCUCUACAUCAUCCGUAGGUGCAUCGUCAUGCUCCUUUGCUGGCAUGACUGA
rnacentral:rRNA from 1 species